UUUAACAGAGAGGGGGGUGGGUGGGUGCAUGGAAGGAGCUGCCGGGGGAGGUAGUUGAGGCAGGUACUAUUGCAACGUUUAAGAAACAUUUGGACAGGUACAUGGAUAGGACAGGUUUAGAGGGAUAUGGGCCAAACGCAGGC